AUUGAACGCUGGCGGCAGGCCUAACACAUGCAAGUCGAACGAGUGGCGGACGGGUGAGUAAUGUCUGGGAAACUGCCUGAUGGAGGGGGAUAACUACUGGAAACGGUAGCUAAUACCGCAUACCAUCGGAUGUGCCCAGAUGGGAUUAGCUAGUAGGUGGGGUAACGGCUCACCUAGGCGACGAGCCCUAGCUGGUCUGAGAGGAUGACCAGCCACACUGGAACUGAUACACUGACCAGAAUCCUACGGAAGGCAGCAGUGGGAAAUAUUGCACAAUGGGCGCAAGCCUGAUAGAGCCAUGCCGCGUGUAUGAAGAAGGCCUUCGGGUUGUAAAGUACUUUCAGCGGGGAGGCGUUACCCGCAGAAGAAGCACCGGCUAACUCCGUGCCAGCAGCCGCGGUAAUAC
rnacentral:rRNA from 1 species